GCGAGGGUAGCCAAGCUUGGAAACGGCGACGGACUCAAGAUCCGUUCCCGUAGGGGUCCGUGGGUUCAAAUCCCUCCCCUCGCA
rnacentral:tRNA from 1 species